GGGGCCAUAGCUCAGUUGGUAGAGCGCUUGCAUGGCAUGCAAGAGGUCGUCGGUUCGAGACCGAUUGGCUCCACCA
rnacentral:tRNA from 1 species